rnacentral:rRNA from 1 species
AACGUACGCUGGCGGCACCCUUUACACAUGCAAGUCGAACGAAGUAGCAAUACUUAGUGGCAGACGGGUGAGUAACAUGUAGGUAUCUGCCCUUUGGCCUGGAAUAACACGAGGAAACUUGUGCUAAUACCGGAUAAGUCUUUACGGAGAAAGCUUUAUGCACCAUUGGAUGAGCCUGCACUUGAUUAGUUUGUUGGUGGGGUAAUGGCCUACCAAGACUGUGAUCAAUAGCUGAUUUGAGAGGAUGAUCAGCCACAUUGGGACUGAGACACGGCCCAAACUCCUACGGGAGGCAGCAGUGGGGAAUCUUGCACAAUGGAGGAAACUCUGAUGCAGCGAUGCCGCGUGAGUGAAGAAGGCCCUUGGGUUGUAAAGCUCUUUCGUCGGGGAAGAAAAUGACUGUACCCGAAUAAGAAGGUCCGGCUAACUUCGUG